rnacentral:lncRNA from 1 species
AGUAAUGUACCUACCCCUUACUUCCAACAAUGUGUGAUCAUUCAUUUGAAUUAUAAUAGUGGGGUCAUCGGUUGAAUUGAGUAAGGUUGGAAGUCAGCUUCGGUUCCUUCAGACUUUCUCAGCUUGUGUGGAUGUUAUUGGCAGGUGAUCCACUUUGGUGUUUCCAUUCAGUACACCAUGCAGUCAAUAACCUCAAAGAAUGGUGCUAGAGAGCGGUUUGAUA